GACAGAGGUGCCAAGCGUUAGGCGGAAUCACUGGGCUUAAAGCGUGUGUAGGCGGAUAUCUAAGUACCUUGUGAAAUCCCACGGCUCAACCGUGGAAACUGCUUGGUAUACUGGGGUGUCUUGAGCCAUCUAGGGGCUACCGGAACAAAUGGUGGAGCGGUGAAAUGCGUAGAUAUCAUUUGGAACGCCAAUGGUGAAAAACAGGUAGCUGGGGGAUGUGCUGACGCUGAGACACGAAAGCCAGGGGGAGCAAAACGGG
rnacentral:rRNA from 1 species